UCUCGACGUAGUCACCUCCUCGUUGGUGAGACCCGGUAAUUGGCAUCGGUUUUCGUUUUAUAUUAUUUGAUUAAAUUAUUAGAAAUAUCACAUUAAAAAUAUUGUAUUAAAACUAUAUUAGAAUGAUUAGUUUUUGAAAACUGAUGCCAAGCUAAGAACUACACUAGUUUUAAGUUUAAGUUUAAGUUUAAGUUUAAGUUUUUGUUAUUGUAUCUUUAACUUGUAAAAUUUUGAUUAUUUUGCAAGAAAUUUCGAAAAUUUAUAAUUCGCGACAUCAUUUAUUAUAAUUGAUUAUAAUCUAAAUUUUGAUAGCGAACAAUUAUAACGUAAUUUUUCCAAAUUAUUCAAAUAAUUUUCCAAAUUUUUCUAAAUAAUUCAUAAAAAUUUUUGAAUGUUAAAAAGUAUCUUAGAACUCAUAGCAGUAUUUUCUUAAACAAAUGUUUGAAACGAAAAAGAAAAAAAAGGAAAAAUAUCGAAUAUUUUACUUUUUUUUCCACCCUAUCCCUCCCUUAUUAUGCAAUUUUAUUUUCAGUAAAUUUUUGUUACCGCGCGCGAUCAGUAGAGUCAGUGAUUGCUUUCGUAAAAGUUUUUUUAAAUUCUUUAAUGAAUAACGCGAAAUUAGAAUCAGUGUUUGUUCGCCGAAUUUAAUUUUUAACCGGUCGCGUUAAAAGACUACGCGUUUAGAGUCAGUGCUUCUCUCAAGAAAAUACGGCGGUCAUCCAUCACGCGAAGAGAUAUUUCCUAACAUCCCCCUGCCAAUAUUCUUCGCAUCUAAUGGUGAGUCGCAUGCAUUUAUGUUCCUCCGGUCACUCAAGCAUGUCGUAGGACGAAAGGUCCGAAUCGACACGAGUGAUUGGUUGUAUACGUAGAUUUUUGCAACGGACAUAGUGACCACGGAUAUACUUAUUAUAUCCGUGAGUAGUAACAUUUUCUGUGUUUUAUUUAUUAGCUCAGGCUAGAUCUUCUUGCACAUCGCGUUUCUCAAAUACUAAUAAACUAAAAAUUUUCUUUUCUUUUUUACACUUCGCUUUAUAUUAUAAUAUAUUUUAAUUAUUCGAUUUUCAAUUUUCAACAAUCAUAUGAUACAAAAUAUAAAAUUUUAAAUUUUAGUUCCUUCGUAUACGAAAAUGUGUAAGAAGAUAUAUCGCGACAGGUAGAUUUCGGAAUCAAAACAAUAAUAUUGAACAUUGUGUUUCUAAUUUCUAAUUCGAAACUAUGUUUUGAUGAAGGAAUCGCCUGAGGUAUUAAUGUUAAUUAAUUAUUAAUGUUAACUUUAAUUUUUCAAUUCAAUUAGUUUAUUUUGCAUUUAGUAUUUCUUGUUGUAAAUAAAUUUCUUAUUUAUUUUUCUUUUGCUUUAUUAUUAUAUAGAUACUAUAUAGAUAUAACUUUAAUAAAAUUAGAGUCAUUGAAUAAAAUUUAAAGUAAAAAUAGAUGAUGAAAUAAAGAAUAUUAGUCCGUUAGAGAAAAAA